rnacentral:siRNA from 1 species
UCGGAGAAGUGACCAGAUCCCAUC